UAGGGAAUCUUCGGCAAUGGGGGGAACCCUGACCGAGCAACGCCGCGUGAGUGAAGAAGGUUUUCGGAUCGUAAAGCUCUGUUGUUAAGGAAGAACGAGUGUGAGAAUGGAAAGUUCAUGCUGUGACGGUACUUAACCAGAAAGGGACGGCUAACUACGUGCCAGCAGCCGCGGUAAUACGUAGGUCCCGAGCGUUGUCCGGAUUUAUUGGGCGUAAAGCGAGCGCAGGCGGUUAGAUGAGUCUGAAGUUAAAGGCAGUGGCUCAACCAUUGUAGGCUUUGGAAACUGUUUAACUUGAGUGCAGAAGGGGAGAGUGGAAUUCCAUGUGUAGCGGUGAAAUGCGUAGAUAUAUGGAGGAACACCGGUGGCGAAAGCGGCUCUCUGGUCUGUAACUGACGCUGAGGCUCGAAAGCGUGGGGAGCGAACAGG
rnacentral:rRNA from 1 species